GACGAACCACACAAACGUUAUUCGGAAUUACUGGGCUUAAAGGGUGCGUAGGCGGCGCAGAAAGUUGGGUGUGAAAUACCUCGGCUCAACCGAGGAACUGCGCCCAAAACUGCUGUGCUCGAGGAAGAUAGGGGUGAGCGGAACUUACGGUGGAGCGGUGAAAUGCGUUGAUAUCGUAAGGAACACCUGUGGCGAAGGCGGGAUCCUGGGCCAGUACUGACGCUGAGGAGCGAAAGCCAGGGGAGCAAACGGG
rnacentral:rRNA from 1 species